ACAUCCCCCAACAAUCCGGCGGCGGCUUCUUGGUCAGUUGGUCUUCCCCAAAACCAGACCAGAGCUCCAAUCGCCGCAUGGAGUCGGGCUCUGAUGACGGGAGCAACAGCAGCAGCUGCCCCCCCGGCAUCGCGGCCUUGCGCUCAGUUACUGGUACUGCGGCUGGUGGAAAGAACAAGUCUGCACGAAGUCGUAGGCAGAGAGUGACUACUGAUUUAAGCAUAUAUUCAGACCUUUCCUGCCGCUGGGCACCCGCCCCACCUCGGCUCCAGGGGGUUCUCCAAAAGGAUUCAGCUAAGGAGCUUGGGCAAGCCUGGGCCAAGUUUUUCCAUGCCAAUGGCAUUCCUGGGGAGAAAGCCGACUGCCCGCAUUUCCAAGAGGCCAUGAGAUUGACGCAACAACUUGGUCAGCUGGUUCAGCACGUUCCUACAGGUUCAGAAAUUGAUGGGCCAUGCCUGCAGUCCGAGUAUGACGAAUUGGAGGAGCAUGUGGCCGAAUGGAAACGUUGGUGGGGUCAUUAUGGUGUUACGGUGAUGUGUGACUCAUGGAUAGGACCUACUGGGUCAAGCAUCGUGAACUUCAUGAUCUCCUGCGAUAGGCGCAUGUUCUUUCACAAGUCUGUUGAUGCCACUGGAAGCAUGCAGAGUGUUCCGUAUCUCUAUGAAUUGAUUAAGAAGGUGGUUGUGGAGGAGAUUGGGCAAGGCUUUGUAGUUCAAAUUGUGACACAAAAUGAACCAAACUUCAAGGAAGCAUGCGGGCAACUCAUCAAGGAGUACCCACACAUUGUUUGGCAGCCAUGUGCAGCUCAUACUGUUAAUCUCAUGCUGAUGGACAUUGGAAAUAUCCCCAAGGUUGACGCGGUGCUCUCCAGUGCCAAGCGGAUAUGUAGGUUUUUCUACAGUUAUUCUGAACCUCUGCACGCUCAAAUGAAAACUAAGAUUGGUGGAGAGCUGAUCCCACCCAAUGCCGCAAGGUUUGGAACUGACUUUAUGUGCCUACAAAGUUACUGGGAUAACAAAGACAAGCUCAGACAGUGGAUGAUCUCGAAUGAGUGGGAAGACGGCCCUUGGAGUAGGGAGGCAGAUUAUGAUUACACAUAUGACUGCUUGAUCAGCUUGUCCUGGUGGGAAGAUGUGAAAUGGGUACUAGAUAGAAUCCGACCACUUUACGCCGUACUUCAGCACGCGGAUUCACCCAAGACUUGGUCAAUUUCUGGAUUUAUGCCUAGAAUGAUUGCUGCUAGGGAUGAAUUACAAUCUCUUUUCCUGGAGGGGUCAGAAGAUUUGAACGAUUUCAUGGAUGUGGUUGACAGGAGGGUUGCAGAUCUAUAUGAUGGCACUCUUAUGAUUGCAGCUGGUGUGCUUGAUCCUGAAGCCCACUACAAGCAUGAUCUUGCAAGCAAUCCAGAUUACAUGCAAGCAUUCACGAUGGCAAUUCAGAAGGUUGCAGACUCACCUGCAAAUGCAGUGGAGGCACUGGACCAGUUCGAAACUUUCCGUUCUUCUAGCGGGAAGUUUGACAAAGAAAUUGCUCGGCGUUGUGCUAGCACAUUGGACCCAGCUUCUUGGUGGUCGUUUUUUGGAGGAGAAAUAAAACUCCUUCAGGGUUAUGCGAUUCGAAUUGUGUCCCAAUGUAUGUCCUCUAGCAGGUGCGAGCGAAACUGGAGCACAUAUGCAUUGAUGCAUGCACAAGCGACAAAUCAGCUUGCUUGUGAAAAGCUUCACAAGUUGGUCUAUGUCCGAUACAAUCUUAACCUGCAGUUCGAACAAACUAAAAUAGAGAACGAAGAAAAGGAUGACAAGGGGAAAAAAGAGCUCGAUCCUUGCAGAUUGAUGAUGGACGCUGCACUAUAUGAUAAAGAAAACCCUAUCAUGGAUUGGCUGAAUAACCCCGGGAGUGCAUCCUUGACUUCACUGGAUGAAAAAGAUGAAUGUGAUCUCCCUACACCAUCUAGGGCCGUGAUUGGUAUGAUAUGCAAAGGGAAAUCAAGUGAGGCUGUCCUUGACAAGCCAACCGGGGUUUUGGAAUUGAAGAAGAACCGCACCCUCUCCAGCAGGAAGCAAAAGAGGAAAAGGGGGAAGAUGACUAUUGAUGAUAAUGGUUCGUUGCACGGAAUGUCUACUAGGAAAAAGACGAAGGAUCUCUCCAGCCUCUAGCCUUUUGCUGGUAAGAAAUUAUGUUUAGAAGUUGCCAGCAAAGCGGGUUGCUACAAAUGUUAAUCUGUCAUGGAUAACCUUUGGAUGUUGUCAAUGGUGGCUAUUCAGAUGGAUCCAGCAUUAGCUAAGAGCUGGGGUAGAACGGAUGGCCAGUUCUGAAGCGCAAGAGCCUGAAAUUCAGAUGGAUCUUAGGGCUGUGAUAUGUUGCUGAUUUCGAACUCCCGAUGCUGCAUGCCAACUUGUGAUUUGUAAUGACCUCUCUAAUCUUCUGCAUGUUGUAAGAUGCUACGUUAGGUGGUGCCUUUUGAGAAAUGUUCUAAUGGUCGCUGGCUAUCUUGUUUAA